rnacentral:lncRNA from 1 species
GAAUAACUUGUGUACUUUGAUACAGCAGGAGCAGGAGCCGUUUAUUGUAGGACAGGAGCAGUAUUUAUACAUUCCACACAGCUUAUCUAAUUAGCAUAAACUAGAUACAUCAGUCAACCAAUAAGGAAUCUCCACACUUAAUGGCUCUCUGGCGUUACUUCACAAACCACUCCCUCUGGCAUUUUGCCAGGCGCCAUCCAGACUUGUUUACAGACUCUAACAUUUGAGGGCUCAUGGUUUCAGAGGUCUUCAUCCAUACAAGGUCAGCUCCAUUCCUCAGGGCUCAAAGUGAGGUUGAACAUAAUGGCAGGAGAGGAUGGUAGAGGACAGCUGCUCACAUCAUGGUGACCAGGAGGCAGAGAGAGACUCCACUUGCCAAAAUACAAAUAUAUACCCAAAGCCAUGCCCCAAUUCCCACCUCUUCCAGCCACACCCUACCACCUCAGUUAAUCCCACCAGGGAUUAAUUUACCAAUUAGACUAAUGCUAUAACCCAAUCAUUUUCCUCCAAACCUUCUUGAAUUGUCUCAUGUGAGGUUUUUGGAGACACCUCACAUCCAAACCAUAACAAAGUUCUCUCCAUUAUGUAAUACUACUCUCUUUAAAAUGAAAAUAUUUUAAAAACAUAACAUUUUGGUCUCAGGUCUGGAU